AUUGAACGCUGGCGGCAGGCCUAACACAUGCAAGUCGAGCGAGCGGCGGACGGGUGAGUAAUGUAUGGGGACUGCCUGAUAGAGGGGGAUAACUACUGGAAACGGUGGCUAAUACCGCAUACACUCGCAUAACCCAUAUGGGAUUAGCUAGUUGGUGGGGUAAAGGCUCACCUAGGCGACGAUCGCUAGCUGGUCUGAGAGGAUGAUCCGCCACACUGGGACUGAGACACGGCCCAGACUCCUACGGAGGCAGCAGUGGGGAAUAGUGAGCAAUGGGCGCAAGCCUGUUGCAGCCAUGCCGCGUGUAUGAAGAAGGCCUUAGGGUUGUAAAGUUCUUGCAGCUGGGAGGCGUUAACCGCAGAAGAAGCACCGGCUAACUCCGUGCCAGCCGCCGCGGUAAUUC
rnacentral:rRNA from 1 species